rnacentral:rRNA from 1 species
AAUCAACGCUGGCGGCGUGCCUCAGACAUGCAAGUCGAACGAUUAAAGCUCUCUUCGGAGAGUGCAUAAAGUGGCGCACGGGUGAGUAACACGUAAGUAAUCUACCUUCGAGUGGGGAAUAACGUCCGGAAACGGACGCUAAUACCGCAUAAUGCAGCGGCAUCGCAAGAUGACAGUUGUUAAAGAUUUAUCGCUUGAAGAGGAGCUUGCGGCAGAUUAGCUAGUUGGUAAGGUAAUGGCUUACCAAGGCUACGAUCUGUAACCGGUCUAAGAGGACGGUCGGUCACACUGACACUGAAUAACGGGUCAGACUCCUACGGGAGGCAGCA